rnacentral:rRNA from 1 species
UACGGAGGGUGCGAGCGUUGUCCGGAAUCACUGGGCGUAAAGCGCACGUAGGCGGCCCUGCAAGUCGGAUGUGAAAUCCCACGGCUCAACCGUGGACGUGCAUUCGAAACUGCUUGGCUCGAGUAUGGAAGAGGGUCGCGGAAUUCCCGGUGUAGAGGUGAAAUUCGUAGAUAUCGGGAGGAACACCAGUGGCGAAGGCGGCGACCUGGGCCAAUACUGACGCUGAGGUGCGAAAGCGUGGGGAGCAAACAGG